rnacentral:tRNA from 1 species
CGUAGCUCAGUAGGAUAGAGCGUCCGCCUCCUAAGCGGAAGGCCGUGAGUUCGAAUCUCGCCG